GCUGAUAUCGAAGCAGCCCUUCAGGUCACUUCGAUCUCUCUCUCUUUUUCAUUGAUUCGGUGCCCUUUGAUUGCUGAGAGAAGACAGGGAAAAAGGAUGGAAUGUUUGAAAUCUGGAGCAAUUAAGUCGUUAUACUGUUUGAAAUGAAGUCAAUUUAGUAUACUCGUUUGUGCGGAUUUAGAAAGCGGAGCUUGCUUCGAAA
rnacentral:misc_RNA from 1 species